GCUCCCACCUGGCCUUCCAUGGAGUUCAGAGCAGCAUUCAUGGAUCUCUCCCUCUGUUCCAUCUUCACAACCACCUCAUGAGGGACUCUGAGCUCUGGGACUUCCCUUAUUCAAGGAACAAUCUCUACCUCUCUCUCCUUCCCUCCCCCUGCCCCCCCCCAGCAACAUGAUGUUUCUGUUCAUCCUCCUGGUUGUACUUCCUCUGCUCGGUACACUGAGAGCUGACCAGGAUAGAGUGGCAGAAUUAGAUCGCCGGUCAAACGAGGAUGCCGGCAGAGUCCGGGACGAUAUUUCAGGCAUGCAACGGAGGGAAGACGAGGGAGAAAAUGAAGAUGAUUAUGUGCUCAUGUGUACCAGGGACACUAGGAAAGGCUGUGUUAAGGUUCUCCUCAAAGACAUCGGGAAAUAACACAAUGGUGUCAGAGGCAGGAAACUGGAUGAACCCUGAGGUUGGACUGGAAACAAAGCUCCCAGCACUGAACAAGACUUCACUCAGAGCAAUGACUGCACAGAGCUAUGGGUUUGAGUUCUGGCCCUCAGCUAAAUCAGUUCCCCACCCUGCAGGAACUCCACGCUCCAGAUUGUUGCCUCCAUCUCUGAAUCAUUUCCCCACAGGCCGCUUGCCCUCUCUCUCACACACACACUAUCCCAGCUCAUUUCAAAAUCAUUACAGAAUCACAGUCUAGAUGCCUAUCUGGUGGUGGUAGUGUCUUGAUCUGAAUCCAGAACAUGCCCUGUGCAGGAAAAUGGGAAAUAAAGAAUAGUUCUGACCAGG